UUUCUCUUGUACAUAGGAAAGAUAGAUAUGGUUUGUGGAUUUUUCUUCUGUUUCCUCUACCUGAAGUGCUUGUGAUCAGCCACAGCUGGAGUUGAGGCUCUGACAGUUGGACAGAUGCUAUCAAGUGCUACAUAAAUGCCUGACAGGCAUUUCUUGUCCUUACUUAUAAGAAUGGAAGAUGUUUAUAAUUUGAUUUAUAAGGAAUUCCAAAUUUGUUGAGAAGGAAACUUACAGAGGUUGGUUGUGCAUGAUAAACAAUUUGCCGAGCAGGAGCCUUCUGGAGGAGGCUGUGGUAACGUGUCACAUGGGAGAAUCAGGAAGGAGUUACCUGGGGGCCUGCUGGAAUACAAGAGUUUAUCACUGCAGCCACUGUCUUCCUUCAUGGACUGUGUCUGAAGUGCCUCUCUUCUGCCUGCUAGGACAGCUACUUCUGAUAUUUCUAAAUAUUCAGCUUUCAGCAGUGCAGAUGACAGAGGUAUAAAUAAAUAUAUUUUCUCCCUGUGAGUAGAAUACUAUUAAGAGUAAUAAUAAUAAAAAUAAUUGCAAAUAAUAAUUUUUAAUUUAGUAAGCUCUUGUUGACUUAUAAAUUAUUAAUACCACCCUGGAAAAGAGUCGCAUUUUAAAUAGAUGAAAUAAUGGAAUGCCAUCGUGUUCACUCUUGUUGCAUUCUCCACUGGACUCUCAGUAUUAUAUAAAUCCAUAAGCUAAAAUAGGAUUUCAGUAGAAAAAGUACUUCUGGACAUGAAAAUAAAAGAAGUAUGUAGGGCUGAACUGUGUUUUUAUGCUGUGCCUCUUAGUACUGUGAACCAGCAUGGAAAGCCUACAGACAGGCUUUCCUGAGCAGGCAUGAGGCUGCACUCCAUGAGAAAGGAGGCAGUUGGCACAAACCUGUGAAAUGAAAUAUUCAUCCUGUUAUUUCUGAGUGAUGAGUGUGUAGAGGGUUAAAAGCCUCCAGUACUUUCAGUAGUCUUCCCUUGAAGAAAGCUCUCCGUAUGUUUUUUUCCUAUUUAGAUCUUUCCUAGCAGACUGAAAUGUUAGUCAAGUUAACUUGGGAGGAAUGCAAAGAGUUGGGAGAGAAACAAUAGCUUUACUUACAAGCAGAAUUUCAGGUCAGAGGGGAAAAUUCUCAAAUUGUAGGGUUCCUUGUCAGUGCUAAAUUCCUAAUACUUCAUAUUAUUAUUUUAAUUUCUACUGUAAAAAGGAAUGCGGGCAUUCAAACUGAUGGUGACUUGUGUACACUGGCACUUAAACUUUUUGACAAUAUUAAAAUGUUUUAGUGUUAGUACAUUUUAAUUUUUAUAAUACUUUUAAUGUUUAUCAGUUACACAGUUUAAAUCAAAUUAAGUGUUUGAGCUACCACAGUAAAAUCUCUCACAAAGGUC